UAACUUGGCAUAUACACAUGAGAACAAAUGUUUAAUUUACACAUGAACAUACAUUACACAUAUCAAAAUAGUGCUGCGGGGAUUAUUUCACAGUUAGGCAUAGACGCUGGGUAGCAAGAAAGAAUUAGGAACUAGAUCGAUUAAUCGUCAACAUCAACAUUGCUGCAACGUGAUGAACAGGGAGGGUGCCGGCGUUGAGCGCUCGGCCGGCUCGGUGGUAGGCGGCGCUCCGGGCAGGGCGAGCGAGGAGGAGUAGGAGAGCUCGCCGGAGCGUCCUCGCCGGCGGUGGGGAGGAAGCAGGGACCUCCGGCGGCGCGAACAGAGGAGACGGCGACGAGUUCCAUGACGAGAGAGAGAGAGAGGAAGGUUUGGAGAGAGUUCGUACGGCCGGGGAUGGACCCAAGG
rnacentral:lncRNA from 7 species